GAUGAACGCUGGCGGCGUGCCUAAUACAUGCCAGUCGAGCGAACAGAUGAGGAGCUUGCUCCUCUGACGUUAGCGGCGGACGGGUGAGUAACACGUGGAUAACCUACCUAUAAGACUGGGAUAACUUCGGGAAACCGGAGCUAAUACCGGAUAAUAUAUUGAACCGCAUGGUUCAAUAGUGAAAGACGGUUUUGCUGUCACUUAUAGAUGGAUCCGCGCCGCAUUAGCUAGUUGGUAAGGUAACGGCUUACCAAGGCAACGAUGCGUAGCCGACCUGAGAGGGUGAUCGGCCAAACUGGAACUGAGAAACGGUACAGACUCCUACGGGAGGCAGCAGUAGGGAAUCUUCCGCAAUGGGCGAAAGCCUGACGGAGCAACGCCGCGUGAGUGAUGAAGGUCUUCGGAUCGUAAAACUCUGUUAUUAGGGAAGAACAAAUGUGUAAGUAACUAUGCACGUCUUGACGGUACCUAAUCAGAAAGCCACGGCUAACUACGUG
rnacentral:rRNA from 1 species